rnacentral:lncRNA from 1 species
CUUUGUUCUUGAGAAAUCUACAGGAUUUCCCACAUCAGAACAAAGGCAGUGAAACAGGACUGGGUGUGAGCUUGGAGGACAUGCACACACCUGCUCUCUCUAGGAGAGAAAGAUGGAGUGGAGUCUGCAUCAGGAUAUUGUACAGAAUUUUUAUGCUUGCUCUAGUGAGGUACUGAAGGACAGAAGAACCUGGCAUGCUGGAGUCCACAUGGUCACAAAGAGUAAGACACGACUUAGCAGCUGAGCAACAACAAUGAUAGCAUCA